UUCUUAUCCAGAGAGGUUGAGGGACUGGCCCUAUGACACCUCGGCAGCGGACAAAAGUGUACCGUGCCAAAUCCAGCAAGCGUAGCUUGAAAGAUAAGAA
rnacentral:ncRNA from 2 species